rnacentral:rRNA from 1 species
UACGUAGGGUGCGAGCGUUGUCCGGAAUUAUUGGGCGUAAAGGGCUCGUAGGCGGUUUGUCGCGUCGGGAGUGAAAACCUUGGGCUUAACUCAGGGCUUGCUUUCGAUACGGGCAGACUAGAGGUAUGCAGGGGAGAACGGAAUUCCUGGUGUAGCGGUGAAAUGCGCAGAUAUCAGGAAGAACACCCGUGGCUAAGGCGGCUCUCUAGUACGUGACUGACGCUGAGACGCGAAAGCGUGGGGAGCGAACAGG